rnacentral:misc_RNA from 1 species
GAUGAAGAACGUAGCGAAAUGCGAUAAGUAAUGUGAAUUGCAGAAUUCAGUGAAUCAUCGAAUCUUUAAACGCACAUUGCGCCCUCUGGUAUUCCGGGGGGCAUGCCUGUUCGAGCGUCAUUAUAACCACUCAAGCUCUCGCUUGGUAUUGGGGUUCGCGGUUCCGCGGCCCCUAAAAUCAGUGGCGGUGCCUGUCGGCUCUACGCGUAGUAAUACUCCUCGCGUCUGGGUCCGGUAGGUCUACUUGCCAGCAACCCCCAAUUUUUACAGGUUGACCUCGGAUCAGGUAGGGAUACCCGCUGAACUUAAGCAUAUCAAUAAGCGGAGGA